UAGCAACACAUCUAGGCUGGGUCGGGUUCAGGAGCUCAAUGGGCUUUUACCAGGGCUUGUACCACUUAUUUGUUUAGAAUCAAGCUCAUGUCAUGAGCUAGCAACACAUCUAGGGUGGGUCGGGUUCAGGUGAGGUUGCACUCCUGAUCCAAACCCUUUGGUAGGUCAAGUAGAUUAAUUUAGACAAAUAUUAGAAGACAAACAAG
rnacentral:lncRNA from 1 species